GACAGAGGUGCCAAGCGUUAGGCGGAAUCACUGGGCUUAAAGCGUGUGUAGGCGGAUUUCUAAGUACCUUGUGAAAUCCCACGGCUCAACCGUGGAACUGCUCGGUAUACUGGGAAGCUUGAGCCACUUAGGGGUCGUCGGAACAAGCGGUGGAGCGGUGAAAUGCGUAGAUAUCGCUUGGAACGCCAACGGUGAAAACAGACGACUGGGAGUGUGCUGACGCUGAGGUGCGAAAGCGUGGGGAGCGAACCGG
rnacentral:rRNA from 1 species